UUGUUGCAGUUAAAAAGCUCGUAGUUGGAUUUCGGAAGGUCCUUAGCAGUCCGCCCCUUCGGGGAGCGGGUUGCUGGCCUCCUAUGUUCCUAACGGUCCUCAUCCGCGAGGGUGGGGAAUCAACCGCUAGGAUCGUUUACUUUGAGGAAAUUAGAGUGUUCAAAGCAGGCGUAACUCGCCUCCGAAUACGUUAGCAUGGGAUAAUGGAAUACGACUUCGGUCUUGUUUCGUUGGUUUCGCUUGGCUGAAGUAAUGAUUGAUAGGGACAGUUGGGGGCAUUAGUAUUUAGUUGUCAGAGGUGAAAUUCUAGGAUUUACUAAAGACUGACCAAUGCGAAAGCAUUUGCCAAGGAUGUUUUCAUUAAUCAAGAACGAAAGUAGGGGGAUCGAAGACGAUCAGAUACCGUCGUAGUCUCUACCGUAAACUAUGCCGACCAGGGAUCCGGAGAGUUUGCAUGGAUGACUCCCCGGGCACCUUGUGAGAAAUCAUAAGUGUUUGGGUUUUGGGGGGAGUAUGGUCGCAAGGCUGAAACUUAAAGGAAUUGACGGAAGGGCACCACCAGGAGUGGAACCUGCGGCUUAAUUUGACUCAACACGGGGAAACUUACGAGGUCAGGACACUGUGAGGAUUGACAGAUUGAAAGCUCUUUCUUGAUUCAGUGGGUGGUGGUGCAUGGCCGUUCUUAGUUGGUGGAGUGAUUUGUCUGGUUAAUUCCGUUAACGAACGAGACCUU
rnacentral:rRNA from 1 species